ACUGCUUCCUGUAAAUGUACAAUAUUCAUUUGAAAUACUUUGUUCCUGCUGUCAUUUGAUCUUACCUCUCAUUUUCCCUUUCUUUCAGUUUCUCUCUCAAGCUGUAAAUUUUAUUUUACUUUGUUAUACUUAGACAGGCUGUUUGAUAUCCUUGCUGAAGACACAUGACUAAGAUGAGCCUGUAUAUUUAGGGGGAUGUUUUCUUUUCAGCCUUUUUAUGUUUUAAAGUUUCCUCUGGUAUAAUUUCUGAAAUAGCAAUUCUCAUAGUUAUCCAUGUAUUCAUUUAUUUAUUCACCCAAAAUGCCCUGCAGUGGGCCAGGACCUGGCGGAUAUGAAAUACAAAAAUUAGAGGUACACAAAACAAAACCCUGGCUUUAAAAAUCUCCUCUACAUGGCCAGUGACCAAUAACUGAACAAAAUCAAGUGUGGAAUUGGAUGCAAGCAGGAAAGGAGACUGAAGUGUAGGGAUUUGAGAAACUGAAAUGCUUGCCAAGGCCAAGGUAGCAGUGGAAAUAAAUACACCUCCACUGGCCAUUUGUUCAUGGGAACAACUGCUUGUUAAAUGGUGAAGUAAUUUUCAGGGUUGAUUGGGAGAAUUUAUACCAGGAGAAAGAAGGAAAAAAAGGUUAUAACUUCAUUUCGUAGUUUGGGUUAUUCUUUCUUGGGCUUGGUGUGGUCAGUAUAAAGCAGAGCAACUAUUUUCUAGUUUCCGCUGUGCACUUCAUGUAUACUAGACACUGU
rnacentral:lncRNA from 1 species